UACGUAGGGUGCAAGCGUUAAUCGGAAUUACUGGGCGUAAAGCGUGCGCAGGCGGCUUUGCAAGACAGAUGUGAAAUCCCCGGACUCAACCUGGGAACUGCAUUUGUGACUGCAAGGCUAGAGUACGGUAGAGGGGGAUGGAAUUCCGCGUGUAGCAGUGAAAUGCGUAGAUAUGCGGAGGAACACCGAUGGCGAAGGCAAUCCCCUGGACCUGUACUGACGCUCAGGCACGAAAGCGUGGGGAGCAAACAGG
rnacentral:rRNA from 1 species